rnacentral:rRNA from 1 species
GAUGAACGCUAGCGAUAGGCUUAACACAUGCAAGUCGAGGGGCAGCACAUGAGUGGCAACACGAUGGUGGCGACCGGCGCACGGGUGAGUAACACGUAUGCAACCUGCCCAUAACAGGGGGAUAACCCGUCGAAAGGCGGACUAAUACCGCAUGACAACGAUGAUCCGCAUGGUGAUUCGUUUAAAGAUUUAUCGGUUAUGGAUGGGCAUGCGUUCCAUUAGGUAGUUGGCAGGGUAACGGCCUACCAAGCCUACGAUGGACAGGGGUUCUGAGAGGAAGGUCCCCCACACUGGUACUGAGACACGGACCAGACUCCUACGGGAGGCAGCAGUGAGGAAUAUUGGUCAAUGGGCGAGAGCCUGAACCAGCCAAAUCGCGUGAAGGAUGAAGGUAUUAUGUAUUGUAAACUUCUUUUGUCGGGGAAUAAAGUGCAGCACGUGUGCUGUUUUGUAUGUACCCGAAGAAUAAGGAUCGGCUAACUCCGUGCCAGCAGCCGCAGUAAAAC